rnacentral:rRNA from 1 species
UACGUAGGGCGCGAGCGUUGUCCGGAUUUAUUGGGCGUAAAGAGCUCGUAGGCGGUUUGUCGCGUCUGCCGUGAAAGUCCGGGGCUCAACUCCGGAUCUGCGGUGGGUACGGGCAGACUAGAGUGAUGUAGGGGGAGACUGGAAUUCCUGGUGUAGCGGUGAAAAUGCGCAGAUAUCAGGAGGAACACCGAUGGCGAAGGCAGGUCUCUGGGCAUUAACUGACGCUGAGGUGCGAAAGCGUGGGGAGCAAACAGG